rnacentral:lncRNA from 1 species
UUUAUUUAUAUCAGAAAGUAAAAAUAAUAAUGGAUCCAAUGAAUAGAGUAAAACUUCCUCACGUUAGUCGCAGCCAACAACUUCUUGCAAAAGGUUUUGGCGGCUUGUUUUGGUUUUGGAUGUUAUGGAGACUGAAACAUGACUGGAAAACAUUAUUUAGCCAUUAUGAAGCUGACAAAGUAUGGGUCAUUCCUGAUCAAGUUGAAGAAUCUGAGCGUCAUCAUUAAAUUUUUUUCUUUGAAUAAUAAUUCAUUACUAAAA